AUACGGGGGGUGCAAGCGUUGUCCGGAAUCAUUGGGCGUAAAGGGUUCGUAGGUGGAAUUAUAAGUCUGGUGUGAAAGCCCACAGCUCAACUGUGGAACUGCACUGGAUACUGUUUUUCUUGAGUUAUCGAGGGGUUUGUGGAAUUUCUGGUGUAGAGGUGAAAUUUGUAGAGAUCAGAAAGAACACCGGUGGCGAAGGCGACAAACUGGCUAUUAACUGACACUGAGGAACGAAAGCGUGGGGAGCGAACAGAAUUAGAAACCCUAGUAGUCC
rnacentral:rRNA from 1 species